rnacentral:rRNA from 1 species
GAUCUGGUUCAGGAUGAACGCUAGCGACAGGCUAACACAUGCAAGUCGAGGGGCAGCAUAAAAGUAGCAAUACUUGGUGGCGACCGGCGCACGGGUGAGUAACGCGUAUGCAACCUACCUAUCAGAGGGGAAUAACCCGGCGAAAGUCGGACUAAUACCGCAUAAAACAGGGACACCGCAUGGUGAUAUUUGUUAAAGAAAUUCGCUGAUAGAUGGGCAUGCGUUCCAUUAGGUAGUUGGUGAGGUAACGGCUCACCAAGCCGACGAUGGAUAGGGGAACUGAGAGGUUGGUCCCCCACACUGGUACUGAGACACGGACCAGACUCCUACGGGAGGCAGCAGUGAGGAAUAUUGGUCAAUGGGCGAGAGCCUGAACCAGCCAAGUCGCGUGAAGGAAGAAGGAUCUAUGGUUCGUAAACUUCUUUUGCAGGGGAAUAAAGUGCAGGACGUGUCCUGUUUUGUAUGUACCCUGAGAAUAAGGAUCGGCUAACUCCGUGCCAGCCGCCGC